rnacentral:rRNA from 1 species
AGAGUUUGAUCAUGGCUCAGAACGUACGCUGGCGGCACGCCUAACACAUGCAAGUCGAACGAAGUAGCAAUACUUAGUGGCAGACGGGUGAGUAACAUGUAGGUAUCUACCCUUUGGCCUGGAAUAACACGAGGAAACUUGUGCUAAUACCGGAUAAGUCUUUACGGAGAAAGCUUUAUGCACCAUUGGAUGAGCCUGCACUUGAUUAGUUUGUUGGUGGGGUAAUGGCCUACCAAGACUGUGAUCAAUAGCUGAUUUGAGAGGAUGAUCAGCCACAUUGGGACUGAGACACGGCCCAAACUCCUACGGGAGGCAGCAGUGGGGAAUCUUGCACAAUGGAGGAAACUCUGAUGCAGCGAUGCCGCGUGAGUGAAGAAGGCCCUUGGGUUGUAAAGCUCUUUCGUCGGGGAAGAAAAUGACUGUACCCGAAUAAGAAGGUCCGGCUAACUUCGUGCCAGCAGCCGCGGUAAUACGAAGGGACCUAGCGUAGUUCGGAAUUACUGGGCUUAAAGAGUUCGUAGGUGGUUGAAAAAGUUGGUGGUGAAAUCCCAGAGCUUAACUCUGGAACUGCCAUCAAAACUUUUCAGCUAGAGUAUGAUAGAGGAAAGCAGAAUUUCUAGUGUAGAGGUGAAAUUCGUAGAUAUUAGAAAGAAUACCAAUUGCGAAGGCAGCUUUCUGGAUCAUUACUGACACUGAGGAACGAAAGCAUGGGUAGCGAAGAGGAUUAGAUACCCUCGUAGUCCAUGCCGUAAACGAUGUGUGUUAGACGUUGGAAAUUUAUUUUCAGUGUCGCAGCGAAAGCGAUAAACACACCGCCUGGGGAGUACGACCGCAAGGUUAAAACUCAAAUGAAUU